CCUACGGGGGGCAGCAGUGGGGAAUAUUGGACAAUGGGGGGAACCCUGAUCCAGCCAUGCCGCGUGUGUGAAGAAGGCCCUCGGGUUGUAAAGCACUUUCAGUGAGGAAGAACGCCUGGUGGUUAAUACCCAUCAGGAAAGACAUCACUCACAGAAGAAGCACCGGCUAACUCCGUGCCAGCAGCCGCGGUAAUACGGAGGGUGCGAGCGUUAAUCGGAAUUACUGGGCGUAAAGCGCGCGUAGGUGGCUUGAUAAGCCGGUUGUGAAAGCCCCGGGCUCAACCUGGGAACGGCAUCCGGCACUGUCCAGCUAGAGUGCAGGAGAGGAAGGUAGAAUUCCCGGUGUAGCGGUGAAAUGCGGAGAGAUCGGGAGGAAUACCAGUGGCGAAGGCGGCCUUCUGGACUGACACUGACACUGAGGUGCGAAAGCGUGGGUAGCGAACAGGAUUAGAUACCCUGGUAGUC
rnacentral:rRNA from 1 species